CAUGAUUAAUGGAAGCUCUCCUGAAUUUCAAAUAUUUUGAAAUCUGGCCAAGACCUAUUCGGAGGCUAAAUUGAAAACAAAUAACAAUAAAAAUAAGGUGAUGCAGGCUUUUAGUCUUUAGCGAAACCAUCACUGUGAUCUUUGUACCACUGCUACAGAAGAGGACAACAUUUCACAUUUCUGGCAUUGUUACUGACAACACGGCAACUGAAAGCAAGCAUGAAUUUCUGGGAGUAGCAUUAGGGUACAAGACUCCUGCUGAGCGCACCAGUUCCUUGCUCUGCACAGCUGCCUUCUCAGCUGGGGGUUUGAAAUCAGCACUGGGAGAAAAGACCGAAAUGACCAUGACGCAUGUGCCUCUCUAUGAGAAAAGUUUGCAUUCUGGGGUACUGAACAUGAUUGAAUCUACAUUGUGACCUUGAGGAGUCAAUCAUGAGAGAUCCUCUAGAUAGUGGCGAUUUCAUAUUGCGUGCCCACAUUCAAAGUCUACCAGACUCAAGCUGAAGAACAGGCAGUUUGUGAAAUGAACAAUGCGAUCACUUGCAGAGGGGACGUGGUGAAAUGUUCAUCAUCUAAAGCAACAAUUCCUCCCAGGGAGGCACUGUGUGAGGACUUGGGUAUCCAGCAUGUAGCAAGAAAGACAGAGCCAUAGAACUUGGUAAAGGAAACAAGUUAUACCAAGCAAACAAAGAGAGAAAUGUAGUUUCGAAUUGUGUGGCCGAAGUCCACAGAACAGGAAUCCCAGAAGGAAAAGUGCAGGCUCACGGGCAAGCCGGAAGUGAAGGGGCUGAAGUGGAACUAAUUAGUGUGGACAGUACCCACGUGUGCCUCUCAUUGCUCUCAGGCUUCUGGCUUCAGUGAAGGGCAUCCUGCAUGAGCAGAUGGUGCCUUCCUCAUGAUGAUCAGAACAUACCUGGCCCAUGUUUUGGAGAUGUUGACUCAAUACAACUGGAAGUGAAGGAACUAUUUGUUUGAAAAAAAUUCUUUUCCUCAUUUGAGACUGGUGUUAAGA
rnacentral:lncRNA from 1 species